CUACGGGAGGCAGCAGUGAGGAAUAUUGCACAAUGGGCGAAAGCCUGAUGCAGCAACGCCGCGUGAGGGACGAAGGCCUUCGGGUCGUAAACCUCUUUUCUGAGGGACGAGACAGGACGGUACCUCAGGAAUAAGUCUCGGCUAACUACGUGCCAGCAGCCGCGGUAAAACGUAGGAGGCGAGCGUUAUCCGGAUUUACUGGGCGUAAAGCGCACGCAGGCGGCUUCGUGAGUCGGAUGUGAAAGCUCCUGGCUUAACUGGGAGAGGCCAUUCGAUACUGCGGGGCUUGAGGUUGGGAGAGGGGUGUGGAAUUCCCGGUGUAGUGGUGGAAUGCGUAGAUAUCGGGAGGAACACCAGUGGCGAAGGCGGCACCCUGGCCCACACCUGACGCUGAGGUGCGAAAGCGUGGGUAGCAAACAGGAUUAGAUACCCCGGUAGU
rnacentral:rRNA from 1 species